GGUAGGGAUACCCGCUGAACUUAAGCAUAUCAAUAG
rnacentral:rRNA from 1 species